AGAGUUUGAUCAUGGCUCAGGAUGAACGCUAGCUACAGGCUUAACACAUGCAAGUCGAGGGGAAACGAUAGAGAAAGCUUGCUUUUUCUAGGCGUCGACCGGCGCACGGGUGAGUAACGCGUAUCCAACCUGCCCACCACUUGGGGAUAACCUUGCGAAAGUAAGACUAAUACCCAAUGACGUCUCUAGAAGACAUCUGAAAGGGAUUAAAGAUUUAUCGGUGAUGGAUGGGGAUGCGUCUGAUUAGCUUGUUGGCGGGGUAACGGCCCACCAAGGCAACGAUCAGUAGGGGUUCUGAGAGGAAGGUCCCCCACAUUGGAACUGAGACACGGUCCAAACUCCUACGGGGGGCAGCAGUGAGGAAUAUUGGUCAAUGGGCGAGAGCCUGAACCAGCCAAGUAGCGUGCAGGAUGACGGCCCUAUGGGUUGUAAACUGCUUUUAUAAGGGAAUAAAGUGAGCCUCGUGAGGCUUUUUGCAUGUACCUUAUGAAUAAGGACCGGCUAAUUCCGUGCCAGCAGCCGCGGUAAUACGGAAGGUCCGGGCGUUAUCCGGAUUUAUUGGGUUUAAAGGGAGCGUAGGCCGGAGAUUAAGCGUGUUGUGAAAUGUAGAUGCUCAACAUCUGCACUGCAGCGCGAACUGGUUUCCUUGAGUACGCACAAAGUGGGCGGAAUUCGUGGUGUAGCGGUGAAAUGCUUAGAUAUCACGAAGAACUCCGAUUGCGAAGGCAGCUCACUGGAGCGCAACUGACGCUGAAGCUCGAAAGUGCGGGUAUCGAACAGGAUUAGAUACCCUGGUAGUCCGCACGGUAAACGAUGGAUGCCCGCUGUUGGUCUGAAUAGGUCAGCGGCCAAGCGAAAGCAUU
rnacentral:rRNA from 1 species